rnacentral:rRNA from 1 species
GACGAACGCUGGCGGCGUGCCUAAUACAUGCAAGUAGAACGCUGAAGAGAGGAGCUUGCUCUUCUUGGAUGAGUUGCGAACGGGUGAGUAACGCGUAGGUAACCUGCCUUGUAGCGGGGGAUAACUAUUGGAAACGAUAGCUAAUACCGCAUAACAAUGGAUGACACAUGUCAUUUAUUUGAAAGGGGCAAUUGUUCCACUACAAGAUGGACCUGCGUUGUAUUAGCUAGUAGGUGAGGUAAUGGCUCACCUAGGCGACGAUACAUAGCCGACCUGAGAGGGUGAUCGGCCACACUGGGACUGAGGCACGGCCCAGACUCCUACGGGAGGCAGCAGUAGGGAAUCUUCGGCAAUGGGGGCAACCCUGACCGAGCAACGCCGCGUGAGUGAAGAAGGGUUUCGGAUCGUAAAGCUCUGUUGUAAGUCAAGAACGGGUGUGAGAGUGGAAAGUUCACACUGUGACGGUAGCUUACCAGAAAGGGACGGCUAACUACGUG